UACAGAGGGUGCAAGCGUUGUUCGGAAUUAUUGGGCGUAAAGGGAGUGUAGGCGGUCUUUUAAGUCUUCUGUGAAAUCUACGGGCUUAGCCUGUAACGUGCAGAGGAAACUGGAAGGCUUGAGUGUCGGAGAGGAUAGGGGAAUACCCAGUGUAGAGGUGAAAUUCGUAGAGAUUGGGUGGAACACCAGUGGCGAAGGCGCCUAUCUGGCUGACAACUGACGCUGAGACUCGAAAGCGUGGGGAGCAAACAGG
rnacentral:rRNA from 1 species